rnacentral:rRNA from 1 species
UAAGCAUAUCAAUAAGCGGAGGAAAAGAAACCAACAGGGAUUGCCCUAGUAACGGCGAGUGAAGCGGCAAUAGCUCAAAUUUGAAAGCUGGCCUUAUGGUCCGCAUUGUAAUUUGUAGAGGAUGCUUUUAGGCAGCCGCCGGUCUAAGUUCCUUGGAACAGGACGUCAUAGAGGGUGAGAAUCCCGUAUGUGACCGGCUCUGGCACCUUAUGUAAAGCUCCUUCGACGAGUCGAGUUGUUUGGGAAUGCAGCUCUAAAUGGGAGGUAAAUUUCUUCUAAAGCUAAAUACUGGCGAGAGACCGAUAGCGCACAAGUAGAGUGAUCGAAAGAUGAAAAGCACUUUGGAAAGAGAGUUAAAAAGCACGUGAAAUUGUUGAAAGGGAAGCGCUUGCAAUCAGACUUGGACUUGGCUGUUCAACCGGUCUUCUGACCGGCCUACUCAGUCUUGUCCAGGCCAGCAUCAGUUUCGGCGGCCGGAUAAAGGCCCUGGGAAUGUAGCUGUUCCUUCGGGGACAGUGUUAUAGCCCAGGGUGUAAUACGGCCAGCUGGGACUGAGGUCCGCGCUUCGGCUAGGAUGCUGGCGUAAUGGUUGUAAGCGGCCCGUCUUGAAACACGGACCAAGGAGUCUAACAUCUAUGCGAGUGUUAGGGUGUCAAACCCUUACGCGUAAUGAAAGUGAACGGAGGUGGGAACCCGCAAGGGUGCACCAUCGACCGAUCCUGAUGUCUUCGGAUGGAUUUGAGUAAGAGCAUAGCUGUUGGGACCCGAAAGAUGGUGAACUAUGCCUGAAUAGGGUGAAGCCAGAGGAAACUCUGGUGGAGGCUCGCAGCGGUUCUGACGUGCAAAUCGAUCGUCAAAUUUGGGUAUAGGGGCGAAAGACUAAUCGAACCAUCUAGUAGCUGGUUCCUGCCGA